AUUGAACGCUGGCGGCAGGCCUAACACAUGCAAGUCGAACGAGUGGCGGACGGGUGUGUAAUGUCUGGGAAACUCCCUGAUGGAGGGGGAUAACUUCUGGAAACGGUAGCUAAUCCCGCAUACUAUCAGAUGUGCCCAGAUCGGAUUAGCUUGGUGGUGGGGUAACGGCUCACCAAGGCGACGAUCCCUAGUUGGGCUGCGAGGAUGAUCAGCCACACUGGAACUGGGACACGGUCCAGACUCCUACGGGAGGCAGCAGUGGGGAAUAUUGCACAAUGGGCGCAAGCCUGAUGCAGCCAUGCCGCGGGGAUGAAGAAGGCCUUCGGGUUGUAAAGUACUUUCAGCGGGGAGGCGUUACCCGCAGAAGAAGCACCGGCUAACUCCGUGCCAGCAGCCGCGGUAAUAC
rnacentral:rRNA from 1 species